GAGUAGUCAGGUCCAGACCAUGUGUUGUGCGUUGUUAUAUUUAUUGUCUAUUUACUGUGAGUAGUCAGGUCCAGACCAUGUGUUGUGCGUUGUUAUAUUUAUUGUCUAUUUACUGUAAGUAGUCAGGUCCAGACCAUGUGUUGUCAGUUGUUAUAUUUGUUUGUCUAAUUACUCUGAGUAGUCAGGUCCAGACCAUGUGUUGUUAGUUGUUAUAUUUGUUUGUCUAUUUACUCUGAGUAGUCAGGUCCAGACCAUGUGUUGUGUGUUGUUAUAUUUGUUUGUCUAUUUACUCUGAGUAGUCAGGUCCAGACCAUGUGUUGUGUUGUUAUAUUUGUUUGUCUAUUUACUCUGAGUAGUCAGGUCCAGACCAUGUGUUGUGUUGUUAUAUUUGUUUGUCUAUUUACUCUGAGUAG
rnacentral:lncRNA from 1 species